rnacentral:rRNA from 1 species
UACGUAGGGGGCAAGCGUUGUCCGGAUUUAUUGGGCGUAAAGAGCGUGUAGGCGGUCAGGUAGGUCCGUUGUGAAAACUCGAGGCUCAACCUCGAGACGCCGGUUGAAACCAUCAGGCUAGAGUCCGGAAGAGAAGAGUGGAAUUCCACGUGUAGCGGUGAAAUGCGUAGAGAUGUGGAGGAACACCAGUGGCGAAGGCGACUCUUUGGCCUGUAACUGACGCUGAGGCGCGAAAGCGUGGGGAGCAAACAGG